AGCUCAUACUGAGAGAAGCAGACCUGCGCACACAACUGCCCCUCACUGGCCAAAGGGUGUACUAACUGGGAAGAGAGAGCAUGUGCAUGUAUUUCACUUCUGUAACUAAUUUGCUGCUGUCAUGCCAUUAUUUCAGUGAACCAAUCUUUUUGUGGGCAGUGUGUGGUUCACAUGAAAUAAUUGGAGAAAAGGAAAAAUGCAGUUUUGGCAGAUGGAAAUAAAUAUGCUGAAAAGAAGCUUGGUUGUUUUUGUAAGGUUGGCUAAUUUUAACUGAAAUCAACAUACCCUUUUUAUCAGCUGUGAAGAGUCAUAUUAAAUAGUGUACCCUAUACAGUGGACUCCAGAGGUGGGUUCAGCAUCCUGCAAAAGGCAUGAAGCUCCUUUGCUAACUUACAUUAGUUCGUGCUCGGUUUCCUAAAUCAUCUUGCUGUGCUAUCCCAGAAGUGUUGAUACAUGGGAAUGUCAGGACCAGCAAUCCAGUGGUGGAGCUGUAUCGGCCCAGGCUUAGAACUGCUGAAAUGGCUGUGGACUUGCAGUCAAAAUUUCAUACAGUUGUGAAACUUUCUGCUUUGAGGUGUGUCUAUUGGUGUCAGUAAAGUAGAAUUAUAAAUGUGUAUUUUGAUUGGUCUCAGUGACAAUGAUGUCCAGGCAUAUCGUUGGGGUAAAUAAAAUAUCCUCCUGAGAUCUCUGAGAGAUACAGAAAUAUUCUGAGCACCACUUCAGAGACUGACUAUAUUAUGUGGCUUUUUAAAAGGUUCACACUACACUGAGGAACAGGAAAUCUCCCAGUUUAUAUUCCUAUGAUUUAACCACCAAUGCCCACAUCUUUGAAAUGUGUGAGAAUCAUCUUAGUAUGCAAAAACAUUGAUCACUCAGUGGGAGUGAUAUUCUGAUAUUCAGGUGAUAUUCUGUCCUGGAUGGACCUUAUCGUUGUACUUUAUCCUUUUUCUCCAAGUCAUUUGUAGUCUUAUUUUUGCUGCAGAAAUUGUAAGCUGGUGUUUCGUCAAUAAUAUCCAACUCAGUUCAAUCAUGGCACCUAUUUUGUCAGCAGCUGCAAAUGAAGACCAGAAGGAGAAUGCCACUUGAGCUGUGAUUCAACAAAUGCUGUUUAGUGCUCUUCCUAAGAAGAAGUGCUAAUGGAUCUCCCAGAAAAAUAUAGCUGUAGAUUUGGUUUACAGGAAAUCUUUGACGUGAUACUGAUUUUUUCACAGUUUAAAGUUUAUGAGAGAAAUUUAGGCACUCCAUGUAUAUAAAAAUAACUCGUAAUGAAGGAGUACAAUGAUAAUUGUGGAUUUCAGUAUUUCUUCUUCACUGUAGUGUUGGUUCCAGUUGAUCAUACUGAUUUCUCAUAAUUCUUACUUACGGCUAAUGAAAACACCAAGAUACAGGGUGGUAAGAGCUUGCUGCUUUAGCUAGGCUCAUCUUCAUGUAGUGCUUCAUCAUCAUUGCAGUCACAUCAGAGUCUUCAUUAUGUGUUUAAUCAUUUUCAUUUAGGACUUUGAAUGACAUUGUACACAUAAAACUUGAUUCUCAUUUGCUGUAACUCCUCCAUGCACACAUCUGAACAGGGAGUAAAUUCUUUACAUUGACUUUAAGUCAUCUCAUUACAUUUGUGGGGCAGUGUAAAAUGAACAAACAAAACCCAUUUGACUGCAUAUGAUGUGCCCCAGACUAAUUAAUGAGUCCAUGCUGCAAAGCAUGGGAGAUCAAUCCUGAAGUCUGGACUCAUUCUCUGUUUCAUCUGCUGUGGUAUGAGAUUGUUUUUUAUAACACAAGGCAAAAAAAAAAAUUAAAAAAUGUGUUGGCUUGGAGGCAGACAGCAGAAUAGUUGUAGUGAGAAUGCUGUGCAGCUC